rnacentral:rRNA from 1 species
AUUACUCCUACGGGAGGCAGCAGUAGGGAAUCUUCCACAAUGGACGCAAGUCUGAUGGAGCAACGCCGCGUGGAUGAAGAAGGUCUUCGGAUCGUAAAAUCCUGUUGUUGGAGAAGAACGGUUGUGAGAGUAACUGCUCAUAGCGUGACGGUAAUCAACCAGAAAGUCACGGCUAACUCCGUGCCAGCAGCCGCGGUAAUA